rnacentral:misc_RNA from 1 species
UCUCCGUUGGUGAACCAGCGGAGGGAUCAUUACAGAGUUGCAAAACUCCCAAACCCUUGUGAACAUACCCGUUACAGUUGCUUCGGUGGGCGGCCCCAGGGCGGGGCCGCAGCCUCUUCUCACGAGGCGCCCGCCGGAGGUAUAUAACUCUUUGUAUUAUGGUCUCGCUGAGUAAAUUUAUAAUAAGUCAAAACUUUCAACAACGGAUCUCUUGGUUCUG